rnacentral:rRNA from 1 species
UGCCAGCCGCCGCGGUAAUACGGGAGUGGCAAGCGUUAUCCGGAAUUACUGGGCGUAAUGCGCGCGUAGGCGGAUUGGAAAGUUGGGGGUGAAAUCCCGGGGCUCAACCCCGGAACUGCCUUCAAAACUCCCAGUCUAGAGUUCGAGAGAGGUGAGUGGAAUUCCGAGUGUAGAGGUGAAAUUCGUAGAUAUUCGGAAGAACACCAGUGGCGAAGGCGGCUCACUGGCUCGAUACUGACGCUGAGGUGCGAAAGUGUGGGGAGCAAACAGGAUUAGAUA